rnacentral:rRNA from 1 species
UACGUAGGAGGCAAGCGUUAUCCGGAAUGACUGGGCGUAAAGGGUGCGUAGGUGGUUUGACAAGUUGGUAGCGUAACUCCGGGGCUCAACCUCGGAUCUACUACCAAAACUGUCGGGCUUGAGUGCAGGAGGGGUAAAUGGAAUUCCUAGUGUAGCGGUGGAAUGCGUAGAGAUUAGGAAGAACACCAGCGGCGAAGGCGAUUUACUGGACUGUAACUGACACUGAGGCACGAAAGCGUG